GGCGCUGUGGCUCCAGUGGUAGAGUGCUAGCCUUGUAAGCAUGAGGCCCUGGGUUCGAUUCCUCAGCACCA
rfam:Dipodomys ordii contig_32537, whole genome shotgun sequence.